UUCUUAGAAGCUUGCAAUAGCAACAAAUUUUUACUUUGUAAAUAGGAAGUCUUCCCUAAGAAA
rnacentral:tRNA from 1 species